ACAUGCAUACAACAUAGUGUUAAUGCACCAUAUCUCCUUAGAACUCCGUAGUUAAGUGCACUCAGGCUAGAGUAGUACUAGGAUGGUGGCCACUUGGGAAGUCCUAGUAUUUUACAUGCC
rfam:Picea glauca, whole genome shotgun sequence.